rnacentral:rRNA from 1 species
UCCCUAUGGGGUGCAGCAGUCGCGAAAACUUGCAAUACACGAAAGUGUGACAAGGCUAUCCCGAGUGCCAUCCGCUGAGGAAGGCUUUUACCCAGUAUAAAUAGCUGGGAGAAUAAGGAGAGGGCAAGUCUGGUGUCAGCCGCCGCGGUAAUACCAGCUCUCCGAGUAGUGUGGAUGUUUAUUGGGCCUAAAGCAUCCGUAGCUUGCUAAGCAAGUCCCCUGUUAAAUCCACCGAUUCAAUCGUUGGAUUGCGGGGGAUACUGUUUGGCUAGGGGACGGGAGAGGCCGACGGUAUUUCCGGGGUAGGGGUGAAAUCCUAUAAUCCCGGGAGGACCACCAGUGGCGAAGGCUGUCGGCUAGAACGCGCCCGACGGUGAGGGAUGAAAGCUGGGGGAGCGAACCGGAUUAGAUACCCGGGUAGUCCCAGCUGUAAACGAUGCGGGCUAGGUGUUGGGGUGGCUACGUGCCACUUCAGUGCCGCAGGGAAGCCAUUAAGCCCGCCGCCUGGGGAGUACGGCCGCAAGGCUGAAACUUAAAGGAAUUGGCGGGGGAGCACCACAAGGCGUGAAGCUUGCGGUUCAAUUGGAUUCAACGCCGGA